AUUGAACUCAUUUCCAUGGGUACACAACAGCAUGAGGCGUCCAGUUCCUGGGCGGCUGCUGAGAGAUGGGCUCACCUCAGAGAAAGGACUCUCUUGGCAAAGGUACGUGACAGGCAGGUGCUGGUAACCGAACCCCCCCCAGGAGCCCGGUUCUGAUCAGAACUCAUGAACCCCAGCUGCUCUGCUCCGCCGCUCGAAGCCUUAUCAUCGGCCUGCUGUGCUCCGAAAAAGUCGAAAGGAUUUGGUUUUCACCAAAACAUAAUCAUUUACCUCUCACGCAUUUUCUGUCUGACUCAUCCAGUAUUGUUUCUGUAAUGGGGCUUAACACAAAG